AAGCGUGCAAUAUGGAAUUCUCCUUCGGCAUCAGGUCACGUGACCUCCCAUGAGAUUGCCCUUGAGGAAUCGGCUCAGUGCGCUUCCGGCAUCGGCGAGGUCAGGCCUAGCUUUCAUCAUCGCUCAGGACUUUAAAUUGGAUUUUACUGUGUUUUUCUU